CGGACCUUGAGGUCUCAUAUAUGUCCAAGCCAUGCCCAGUGAGACAGACCAUUUCCUGUUGCCUGUAAGUCCAGGGAUAGGACUCUCAGCUCCAUGCAUGCCACCAUGAUGAUAAUGGACUGAAGCUCAGAAAAUAGGACCUGCGUUUUGAUUCCCAGCAUCUACACAGAGGGAAUCCAACAACACCAUCUUCUGGCCUCUGCAGGUCCUCGGCUCCCAUUCACACCAUGGCAAGCGAGGGACACAGGACCCUGGAGGACCUGAUGGGCAGCAGUGCUGGUAGGAGUAGUUCCAGAUGGGCUCCUCAGGUACUGACAGAGACAUCUGCUCCGUUUAGCACUGAAGUUGAUCAAGUACUCUGGGCCUUGGAGUGCACAUCUGCAACUUCCCGAUGCUGGGUGGACAUCCCCAAACUUCUGGAAGGAGAGCUUAUCUGUGCAGCAUUCAGCACAAACAGUCAUGAUUGUCUGUAGUCACUCAGGCAGGGACCGUGCCCAGGUGCUGAACAUCAGAGUGACAGCUGAAGGAUUUGCAUUCUCACAGGGGACUGGACAGAGUGUUUUGGCCAUGGUGCUUCCUUGAAACUCAAGUUCCAGAUCCUUCUUGGGGCUGGGGCCAUUGCUUGCCACUAGGACACGAGACAUGGCUGGCUCUUUGUUUUGUUUAUGUGUGUGCUCAUGUUCAUGUGAGUGUGUCCAUGUGUGUCUGACAGUGUGCGUGCAUGUGAAUCUAUACGCAUGGAGAGGUUCAUGGCCAGUAUCUUCCUUGGUUACUCUCUAACUUACUGGUUUUUCGUUGUUGCUGCUGCUGCUGCUGUUUUGUUUUGUUUCUUUUUGUUUGUUUGUUUGGUUGUUUGGUUUGGUUUUUCCAGACAAGAGUUUCUCUGUGAAACAGUCCUGGCUGUCCUGGAACUCACUCUGUAGAUGAGGCUGGCCUCGAACUCACAGAGCUCCACCUGCUUCUGCCUCCCGAGUGCUGGGAUUAAAGGAGUGAGCCACCAACGCCCCUGCUGCUGCUUUGUGUGUGUGUGCGCGCGCGCGCGCGCGCACGUGUGUGUGUGUGUGUGCGCGUGCGUGUGUGUGUGUGUGUGCGUGUGCGUGUGUGUGUGUGUGUGUGUGUGUGUGUGUGUGUGUUUUGCCUGCAUUUAUAUGCAUCGUGAGGGUGACCGGUGUCUGUGGAGGUUAGAAUAGGAGUCACUGAUGGUUGUGAACAGCUGUGUGGGUGCUGGAAACCAAACCUGGGUCCUUUGCAAGAGCAACAGCUCUUUAAAAAAAUUUUUUUUUCCAAAGCUACACAGAGAAACCCUGUCUCGAAAAAUCAAAAAAAAAUUUUUUUUAAUUUCAUUUUACAUUCCCACCAAAGUUCUCCUUCCCACCCUUCCUCCUUGCUCCUCCUCCCCUCCCCUCAGCCCAUCCCCCACCCACUCCUCCCAACAGGUAAGGGCUCCCAUGGGGAGUCACACCGUUUGGCACAUUAAGUUGGGCAGGACCAAGUCUCUCCCUGCUGUGUUAAGGCUGAGCAUGGCAUUUCCUCAUAGGCAAUGGGCUCUAACAAGCUAGCUCAUGCAGCAGGAAUAGAUCCUGGUCCUACAGUCAGGGCUCCCUCAGAUAGCCCAAGCUUCACAACUGUCUCCCACAUACAGAGAGACACAUGGAUCGCUCUGGGAAGGGAAAUUAGAUGAGAUCUCCCAGGUAAGCUGGGGGCGAGGGGGUUGGUAAAGGGAGGGGAAGGGGCAUGAGAAUACGAGGGAAUGGGAUGGCUGAGGAGGGAAAAGACGGAGAGGGAGAGCAAGGAAAGAAAUGCUUGAUAAGAGAGCCACUCUGGGAUCAGGGAGAAACCUGGUGCCAGGGAAACCCCCAAGAAUCCACAAAGAUGACCCCAGCUAAGUCUCCAAGCGAUAGUGGAGAAGAUGCCCGAUCUGGCCUUCCCCUGUAAUCAAAUUGGUGAACACCCCAGCUGUCAUCAUGGAGCCUUUAUUCAGUAAUUGAUGGAACCAGAUGCAGAGAUCCACAACUAAGUACCAGGCUGAACUCUGGGAAUCCAGUCAGAGAAGAAGGAAGGAAUAUAUGAGCAAGGGAGGUCAAGAUCAUGAUGGGGAAAUCUACAGAGACAGCUGAACCAAGCUCGUGGAAACUUGUAAACUCUGGACUGAUGGCUAUGGAGGCUCCAUGGCGGGGGCAACAGCUCCAGUCUCACAGCUUAUUUUCUGAGACAAGGCCUCUCACUGGGCCAGGGGCUUAGUGACUUGGCUAGCUCCAUUGUUAGGGGUACAGGUGUACCCUGCCACAGGCUCUCAUACAGCUGCUAAGGACCUGAACUCAUGUCCUCAUGCUUGUAUGGAAACCAUUUUACUGACUGAGAUGUUGCACUUAGAAAUGUCCUCUUUUGGUCUCCAUGGGCACCUUAUGUACAGCCAGCCAGGCUGUCUCCACUCCACAGAGGAACAAACCCAGCUUCCCAGGGCGGGGUGGGCUGGGGAUUUGCCCAGUGCUCACUGGUGUGGGUGACUGGGUCUCCAGGGUCAUCCGCCUUCCCCUCUGCAUCAGAUGGAGGACUUGGCCUUGGGAGCAGACCAAGAACAGGUGGGCCCAGUCUCUGUCCUGAAGCAGGAGCAUGCCAUCUCUCCAGGCUUCCUAGCUGCCUCAUGCUACCCUCACAUCCGCACAGAGGCAGGUGAGGGUUCCUCACCAGCAAUGCCUGGGACGAGCAGAAUUUCAGAUUUUCUAUAUAUAUUUCACUGUUUUCAUAAGCUUUGCUAGUUGGCUGUCCCGAAUCCAAAAACCCCGGUUCUGAAACUUGUUGAUCAUUAGUUCUCAAACUCAGAGCAAACAGCUAACUAGUGAUUAUUGACAUAUCAAAGUGGGUGCUGGCCACCACUCUCUCAGCACCACCAAUACCUGGCAUAUCCUGCCCUCAACCUGAAACUCCAGUCCAGGGCCCCGGCUGUGCUUACUUUUCCCCAGCUCAUCAGCCAUUUUGGCUAUACCCUCUCUUGGCCCAGGUCCCCGUUCUUGGUCUCCCCCCUGCCCCCUCUCCUCACAUGGCCCAGCUCAGUCUAGACUCUCCCAGAUGCCUCUAUCUCUGCCUCUGGCUAUUUCCUCUCUUUUAUCUACAAUAAACGUCUCCUCCACCACACCUAGGAGCUGUCCUCUCUUUUCAUUCAUUGAGAAUGGUAGCAUGCUUGGUCUGCAUCAACACCAUUGGACAGAUGGGAAACCAAGGCUAAGAGAGCUCGGGCAAUUUGCCCAGAAUCACCAGCCCAUGUGUGACCAAGCCAGGACUUACACAUGUGCCUGUCUGCAGUGCCUUGGCCCUUGGCCAAGUUUCUUACCUCUUUACCCUUGAUGUAUGGGACUGGGUUGUGGAAAUGUAGGUCUAUUGAGUGGCAUCCCUGACCCACGGCAGUGGCUUCCCUCCCUGACCACAAUGUCUCCAGGGCCCUGGAGAAACCUUGCCGCUACUACUAGGACUCCAGGGCCCGGGCUGAAGAUGUAGCUGACAGCUACUCUGUAGCGGGCUUAGGGACAAAAGCAGAGUUGAAAGGACUGAACGGCAGCUUCAGAGAGUUUUGGCUCUGUGACCCUGAUAUCUGGUCCCCAGCAGAGGUAUUGGCUGAUGUCAGCCUGCUGAGAUGAACCCAAGAUGACUGCAGGGCCUUUGAUCUCAGGAAUAACUGGUGUGCCGUGGGUUGGGGAGGAGAGAAUACUGUUACCCCACCCCUGGUUGUCUAAGUGUCUCCUGCCUGGGAUGGAUUUGUCUGGUGGCCAUUAGGGAGCUGUCUGAUGGUUAUCUCCCAGACAGCUUGGUUCUCUCUGUCUGUGAAUCUAAAC
rnacentral:lncRNA from 1 species